rnacentral:lncRNA from 1 species
AAAUAAUACAAUUCAAACGGAUUUUAUCGACAACAGAUUCUAAUAAGCAGUGAGUUUGUUUAAAAUCUUUUUAAAACUUAUUUUAUAAUUGUCUUUUCAAAUUUAUCAUCAAAGUAUUCAAACUAGCUAUUUUGAAUAUGCUUUUUCGUUUAUCUACAAACCAUAGCUAACUCAUUAUUCACAUACUUUUUUUUAUAAAUAAAUAUUGCGUGUGAAAUGUGAAGUAUAGAUGCAUGCUCAAUUAAUUAAUAUUCACGCAAUUACUACCUCCUGAUACUUAACUUGAGUUAUCGUAUAAAAACCAAAGCUUCUCAAGUCUCCGCCAAAGAAAAACUCACUGCGCAGCUGUUGUACUAUCGGAAGUGUAUAGAUAUGUAUCAAUGUUUGACAUUGGACAUAAGAUUAGCGGUUAGCAUGUGAUUAGAGUAAGGAACAGUGGAAAUAGUAAAUGAUCAAAUGAAAUAUUUGCAUGUUGGCUGUUUCGAAAGACGCUGCGUUAGAAUUUAUCUGUAUAAGUCUUAAACAUGAAAAGUAAUUGCUACAAAACGAAAGGAGACCUAUACUGAUGCACCAGAAUACAAAGUACAUGUAAACCACAGAAAAGUAAAGACUGGGCAACACUAGCCCUAUGAAACCCGGGGUUGAUCCAAUGUUUCACAGACAGGAAAAAACUCUUAUAUGUUAUUGGGAAGCUGAAAUUCCAGAUUUUCAUAAUUUUCACACGUUUAAGAAGUAAGACAGGUCGGCUUUUUUUCGUUAAAUCAUACUUUCGUAUCAAUUGUUCACGUUUAACAAUAUUAGAUAGAUGUUUAACAACAAUCGUUCAAUCAAUAAUUUUCAAUAGAUAGAAAGCUAUUUAUUAACCUCUUUCAGUUCAUUUCAAUAAUAAUCAAAUUAAUAAAGAAAGUAAAACUGAAGCAUUUAAGAGAAAAACAAAUUCCACCUCAUUUUUGCACCUGUCCUAUAUUAAGAGCCUCUGGCCUUGGUCAGUCUUGUAUGCUUGUUAAUGUUAGUUUCUUAUGUAUAAUUUUGAGUUUAGUAUGAUGUCCAUUAUCCCUGAACUAGUAUACAUAUCUGUUUUGGGGCCAGCUGUAGGACGCCUCCGGGUGUGGGAGUUUCUCGCUGUAUUGGAAAGUAAAAUCACAAAAAUACUGAACUCCGAGGAAAAUUCAAAAAAGGAAAGUCACCAAUCAAAUGGCAAAAUCAAAAGUUCAAACACAUAACACGAAUGGAUAACAACUGUCAUAUUCCUGUCUUGGUACAGGCAUUUUCUUAUGUAGAAAAUGGUGGAUUGAAUCUGGUUUUAUAGCUAGCUAAUCCUCUCACUUGUAUGACAGUCGCAUCAAAUUCCAUUAUAUUGCAACAUUAAAUUCAAAUUUGUUACAAAAUGCAAAUACGAAUCUUACAGGUAUGGAGUUCAUGACAACUGCAUCCAAUUGGGACUUCACCACAACUCCAUACUAUUUGAACUGUACUAAAGCUGGGGCAUCGCUCAUAAACAACACCAUCACAACACCAUUUGAGAGUUUGGAAACUACGACAUAUAAUUAUUAUCAUGAUUAUGGUAAAUGUUACUAUAAAUUAAGACAUACAUUAAAACUCAAAAAGCUCAGGGUGAAAGCAAUGAUUCAUGAGUAUUCCUAUUCUGUUAUUUUGUAGCAUAGGGAUGUUUAUGUUUAAGUUAGUAUUUGAAAAAUAAGAAAUACAAUAAGCUGAAAACAGAUUAUAUUUUCUGAACAAGAAACGAUUAACUAAAGGUACUAUGAAAAUAUCAAACUAAAAAACCAAGAAAAACUGUCAACGCAAUGACGAAAAUCGUAACACGACGAAAAGACGAACACAUAAUAACAACACAUAGAAAACGUAAGAUCGAGAAACACAACAUGCACCCAGAAAUAAACGGGAAUGAAAAGUGAAAGAAUACAAAAAUACUUUGGUGGUAAAUCGUGUACGCAACGGUUAAUACUUAUAUUUCCUCAAACUAUAUCUUGUCCUUCAUUAUGGUCAUAAAAGGAGUUUGUAUUAAAUAGACUGGAUUGGAUAUCUUCUCCUAGCGCACAUUGUUUUAUUCGUAGAUGAUUAAUUGUAAACUUAACAAACCACUGCACAAAAAAAUCCGUGUAUCCGUUUGAAUUGUUUUACAUUGUCAUAUCGGGGCCUUUUAUAGCUGACUAUGCGUAUGGGUUUGCUCAUUUUUGAAGGCCGUACGGUUACCCAUAGUUAUUAAUGUCUGUGUCGUUUUGGUCUGUUGAUGAAAGUUGUCUCAUUGGCAAUCAUACUACAUCUUCUUUUUAUAUUAAAGAAAAUCUGCAAUACAGCGAUUCUUUAAAAGUCGUAAUGCAAAAUAUUUACAGAAAAAACAACGGUUUACCUAUGAAUAUAGAUUUUUGGAAACUUUUAUAUGAAUUGUUAAUUAACAUGGAUUAUCAUAUAAUACAAAUAUGCGCAAUAUAUGCCCGAUAACCCUGUGUUCAAUAUGCCAGACUUAUUUUUCUUCCUUCUGGUCUUGGUUAAAACAAUAUAUUUAAUUGAAGUCAAAACGCCUAUCAUCCUGAAGAUAGUCAAAUGGUUGUUCCCUUGUAUGUUUGUAAUAUGGAAAGUUUCACGGCCUAUCAGAUUCAAGGCGGAAAAGGUCUCAAUCUUCAAUAAAUAGUAAAAAUAUAUUUUCAGAUGCACUAUCAACGUCCAGUGAAACUAUCAAAAUAAUCAGUAUGGUUUGUGCUAUUUUUGGUAUGGUUAUGUUAAUAAUUUUGUAUGCGGCUGCCUACCGAAUGUGCUGCUCUGGAAAACAACCUUAUCAUGAUUCGUGCAUUAAGGGAACUAUCCAUGUCAUACUGACUUUGUUAACAUAUGUCCUGUACCUGUUUGAUACUCUGUCGGAUGUGUUCCUGUUCCUACACUACAUUUCGAUUGGACAAACUUCAAAGUUUCUAUUGGUGAUGGCCUUUACCUUCGCACCAGUUCUCUUUCUAGCAUUUAUUUUCUUUGCAAAACAUCACGAAAAAUUAGAAUGCGACUAUAAGGAUCUAUCAUGUAGAGAGCAAAUGUGUUUCCAGAUGUUUGGUUUGGUGUUAGUUCUCGUGUGUAGUCCAUUUGCUGCAUUGUUACCAACAUACACGUACGUAUUUUAAUGAAAAUACAUUUUUUCUAUAACGAAACCUGAUUUAUUUCACACACGUUCUGAUACCAUUCCAACUAUAGAGGUUGGUCUGGUAAUAUUUUCCGUGUCAAUUAUCAUUUUUAGGGUGUAAAACAAACAGCUAAUAGUGUAAACCUGCCGAAUAGCAGCUAACGAAUAAACCAAACAUAUAUAAUGUGUCUAACAGCUAGUAUUUUACAAUAUAGAUGUAGUAGCUUUAGAAAAUUUAAUAAUCACACAGAAUCUGUGCAUUUUUUUUCAAAUAUGAUAUUGCCCUUUGCAAAUCGUCGAACUAAAACGUGUCAAGGACCAUACGAAAUGUGCAAUAUUGUACAACAGGUUUAUGUGACCUCCUUUAACAUUUUAGGUAAUACGAUUGGUUAAGAAAUAAUAAAUGGUAGCCGUACAUUUGUUUUCAUUUUCAAGGGUUGGGCAUUUAUACUCGACUAAUUUACCCUGAGCGUUAUCAAAUGGGUAAAAUAUGAUUAUAAACACCCAGUCUAUAGUUAAAUGAAAACAAAUCUACGGCUGCAUGCCAUGCAUUAUUUCGAUACUAAUGGGACAAAUUCGAUAGUUUUGUUUGCACCCAUAUGCUAAUAUAAGUAAUAUUAUAUAAUUCAAUAAUAUAUUUUUUAAUUUCAUUUACCACCAAUAUGUAUGUUCUUUUAAUGUAAUAUUAUUGCAUUAUGAGGCACCCACGAAGCUUAUGGUGUUUAAAUCUGUUUUUUGUUUAUGGAAACAUUAAUAUGACGUCACCUUGUGUCGUUGCCAUGUAAACACGAUAACAUCAUUUCGCAGAAUUUUCGAUUUAUGAAAUUUUACCACAGAAAAUAAAUUAAUCGUAUUUUGCUAUAGAAUAGAGAUAAAUAUAUUGUAUUUGAAAUUUGGCCUAAGUAAACUGUGGGUUUUGAUGUCGAAAAUUGAGAAUACCUGGCAAUAUAAUUAAGCUGGACGUAACGCGGAAUAGCCAGUUGUGUGUUUGUAUACGCGUGCACUAAAAGUAGAUAUACCGUAUACAGACUAGUUGACGAUAAUAGGUCGUCAUAUUAGAAUUUAAAAAAUCGCAUGGAGAUUGUGAUUAUUCCAUAGUACGUAGUAGAUAAGGCAUUUUUCAAUACACGUUUAAUAGUGGGAUUACGUCUCUUUAAAAAAACAAGCAAGAUGUUUAUAGUUAUCUUUAAGGUAUCAAUAGACAAAGAAAUACAUCGAUAUUGAUGAUUAAAUUAAAUUCAUAAAACACAUGUAAAGCUUAUAAGUUGCUAUUGGUGGCAUUAUUUUUGUAUCCAGACCAAUGCACGUAAGUUAUUUAUGCUAACGAUAUUUAAGACCUUGCUCAUUUUUAUAGGCCACUAGCUAAAUACUAAGUACCAAAUGUUAGGAAAGUCAAUAAGAUAAAUUCGUUACUUAGUGUGAUGAUGACCUAAUACGAUAUAUAUGGGGUCAGUAAAUGCAAUAUGAGAUGUACAAACCCAUGUAGUUAUAGCGUAUGAAGUCACAAGCACGCUAUUUACAUAUAAAUAAUAUUAUCGCUAUUUUGUGCAUUUUUUCUUAAAUCUUUUUUAGUGAUAAUGUUUCAUAUCAUUCUACUCGCUUGAGACUGAAGUUAUCGCUAGAAAUUAAGAUGACACGUAGUGUUGCUAAUAAAAUUGACAUGAAAUUGACAACGUCGUUAUAGGUAAAAUAGCGAUAAACAGAUUAUCAUUGGUCAUCUCGACUCGACUACCUUUCGCGAUUUCGCCGUACCGGUUCAAGCGAGAAAAUCAAUCUCGUUGAGAUGAUCAACGAUAAUCUAGAUAUAGGAAGACGUGGUGUGAGUGCCAAUGAGACAACUCUCCAUCCAAAUAACAAUUUUAAAAAAGUAAACCAUUAUAGGUCAAUGUACGGCCUUCAACACGGAGCCUUUGCUCACACCGAACAACACGCUAUAAAGGGCCCCAAAAUUAAUAGUGUUCAAUCAUUCAAACGGGAAAACCAACGGUCUAAUCUAUAUAAAUUAAAAAAACGAGAUACGAGAAACACGUAUAAAUUACAUAAACAAACGACAACUACUGUACAUCAGAUUCCUGACUUAGGACAGGUGCAAACAUUUGCAGCGGGAUUAAACGUUUUAAUGGAUCCAAACCUUCUCCCUUUUCUGAAACAAUAGCAUAAAAUCACAACAUAGAAAAAGACACGGAAAAAAAAUUCAAUUGGCAGGCUUAACUCAAUCAAAAAACGUACAUUAAUACAUUAUAAACGAAUAAAUUUGAUCUGCGUAUAUAUCAUUGUUGAGUUUGCUGGUUAGAACGAAUAAUUUAGGUCAGACUUUUUUUUGAAUUAUACGAAAUACUAUAUCUAAUCUUCUGAUUUAUAAAUAUCUAAGUAGCCCAGGUCUCAUGCUUACGGACCACUGUAUUUCAACAGCCUCACUUGACCAGGCAAAAAGCAAAUGAGUUUAUACUAACAAUAGUUUUACAUACAUAUAUUUUUUUUUAAAUAGCCAAUACAAUUGAUUUUACCUGAUAAGCAUCACUGUAUAAUCACUGGUAUAAAAGAGAUAAUCGUAACUGCAAUUACGACUAUCCCAAUAUGGCGACGGCAGAUAUAGAUAAAAUCUUUACAGUCAUUUUUUUCUCAAAUGUAGCAUGUUUUUUACUCAGCUGCAAGGUUUCCAUACCAUUACAUCAUUUUUUAAUCGUAACGGUGCACUGAAACUGUUUAAGCGCUUUGAAAAUUGCCGUUGAAAAAUUCGGGAUGAUAAUUGUAACUCGGAAAAAAGAUAAUCGUAAUUAUGGUAUUAAAAAAGGAAAAGAUAAUCGUAACUGGAAAGCGUUUUAUUGAUAUUAUAAAAAUGACAAUACAAACGUAUAUCUGAUAGCAUAUGAUGAAAUUAUGGCGAUGAAUUAAUUACGAAACGUUUCAACAUCUCUUGACAUUUCUUUUUAUGCAUAUAUUAUUAAUAGUUCUAAUCAAAACAGCUACAUACUAGUAUACCAUAAAAUUGGAAGGGUGAACAAUCUUGAAGGAAUUUGGAAAUUGGGAAAACACGAACUAUGUUAACAUACGGAAAUUUCCAAGAACUAGGGAUGUCACAAAAUAUGGGAAUGAGCGAAGAGGCAAUUUUAAAGGAACUUAUGAUAUAUGGCAAUAAUUGUCAGGCGAAACGCAUGUGUCACCCUCCAUCAGAUUUCUGAUUAAGACGGUAAAUGAACAGUUAUUUAUGCUGAAUAAAGAUAUAGUAAAUAUAGUAAAUAUUGUUUUAAUUCAUGUAUUGCAAGUGGCUAUAUGUGCUAUUUCUGCCCCUGGGAAGUUAAACACAUUCUAACGUGGGGUUAAUUGGCAAACAUGGAUAAUAAACUCAUCAUAGAUACCAGGACUAAACUUUGUAUAUACGCCAGACGCGCGUUUCGUCUACAAAAGACUCAUCAGUGAUGCUCGAAUUCAAAAAAUUUAAAAAGGCCAAAUAAAGUACGAAGUUAAAGAGCAUUGAGGACCAAAAUUCCUAAAAGUUUUUGCCAAAUCUAGCUAAGGGAUUUGUGUUCUUUUAUAGUUUGGCCAAAAGCCCGAAAAUUAAGAAAUAAAAUUGAUGUGGCUUUAAAUUUUCUUACUAGAAAUACUUAUUCAAAGAAUGACUGCAACGUUGAGAAAAAAAAUAACGCAUAUUCCGCAAUAUUAGAAACAAACUAAUUAAAAAUUUCAUAAAUACUUGAUAUAUGAAAAGUAUGCUGCAUACAUAAUACAUUAUAUAGAUAUAGGAAGGUGUGGUGUGAGUGCCAAUGAGACAACUCUCCAUCCAAAUAACAAUUUAUAAAUUAACGUAAACCAUUAUAGGUCAAUGUAAAGCCUUCAACACGGAGCCUUGGCGCAUGGAAGAUAUUGUAGAGAAAAAUAUUGAAGGUAAUAAAGAAGGAGUAUUUUUGUACUUGCAUACUUGCCAUAUAAUUAGUACUUUUCUAUUAAAUGACAGCAGUAAUUAGCCUUACCUAAUUGUCAUGCAUUUUUCUGAAGCACAAAAUAUUUGUUUUAAAAUCUAUAAACAAGAUCCGACUGUGAUGAUCUACAUGGUAUGUCUUCUGAUGUAAUUUAUCAAUAUACAAAUUGGAGGCAAAACAUAUGACAUAUGGAAAUGUGGUAUGCUUUGUAUGUGACUUUCAUGUUGAUCAAUGAAUUGCAAGGAUUGCCCUUUUUGGAUAUGGGAAAUAGCUAAUCCACCCUCCCCCCCCCUCCCCAAAAAAAACAAACAAAGUUAAACGCGCAUCUACAAAUGCGAAAUUGAAAUUUUGAAAAAAACUAAAAAUAUCUACUAACCACAAUAACUGACUCUACAGCUGCUUCAUUUUCCAUAUCUUUUACAGGAACAUGUAUAUAUUAAAAGGUUAUUCGUAUUGUUGUAAGUUAUAAAUAGAGAUAUAUAAGUAAAUUUGUCCUAGAUGUUAACCUGUAAGUUUCUUCAUUUAUUUUUAUAUGCGUUAAUGUCAUCGUUAAACUGGAAAUUUGUAUUUUUAACACAUAAUACCAUUGAAAUGCUGAAAGACACAUUUAUUAUGUUUCAGUUACUAUUAUCCGGUAAAGAAAUUACGAUUAUCAAAGAAGAAAAAUGCCUUAGAGCUACGAUUUUUCUACGGCAAUUUUCAAAAAGCUUAGACAAUUCCAGUGCGUCGUUACAAUUCAAAUAUGAUGUAAUGGUAUAGAAAAACCUUGCAGCUGAGUAUCUAUUGAUAAAAACAUGCUACAUUUGAGAAAAAUGAGUGUGAAGAUUUUACCUAUAUCUGCCGUCGCCAUAUUGGGAUAGUCGUAAUUGCAGUUACGAUUAUCUCUUUAAUACCAGUGAUAAUACAUACUCAUUAUCGUAUGUACGGUUCACUCAACAACCAUGUGUUGAUUUAAACUAGAAAAACUAUAUUUGAUUGAGAAAAAUGAGUUAAAGUUUGAAUUGGAAAUUAUUGAUAAGAUUGACCAAAAAUUGAAAUUCUUCUGUUAUAUACACAUGGAUUAUAAAAAGGAUAAAUUACACAUGUUGCCAGACUUGAUCAAUUCCAAAAUUAAAUAUGUCGCUAAUGUUUUAGUUAAAAUCAAUUCAUUCCUACUCAUUUUGCUUGGUUUGCAGCCUGAAAAAUCUGGAUAGGAUACUGAAAAUUCUUCUUCGUUCUUUGUAUUAACUUUCGCAUUCUCCGAGUUUGAUUCUUAUUAUAUAAUUAGUCAGAUUGACCCGCCGAUAAAUCAUCACAUCACUCCCAGAACUACAUAGUUUCCUAUAAUAUAGAUCACAUUAUGCACGACGCUUGUUGCUUUAUCAAAUUAUGUAUGUAAUAAUGAUGUCCGUAUAUCUGAGGAUUAAUGACCUGCUUUGGAUUCUUUACUUUUUUAAAUGCUGAAAAUAAAGUAAAGGGUGGACAUUAUCAUUGCAAUCGUUUUUCAUUUAUUUGCACUUGGAGAAGAAUAAACUGUUUACUGUUCAUUUCCGAAUUAAACCUGGAAGAUACGAGGUUUUGUAGUAUCAUGGGACUAUUCUGUACAAAAAGUUUAAAAAACAAAUAUGUAGCCAAACUCAGACAUGAAAAUAUAGAUGUGAAGGAGGGAUAUGCAUUUCUCAGUUAAUUAAGAUAUUCAAAAAUUGCUACCAGCAAGUUCAAUUAAGAUAAUAUCAAUAAUUGUCCUGUUUUUUUUUUUAUUGUCAUGUGUUUGUUAGGUUUUUUUUUUUGCGAAAUUGUGAGCUUGAAUGGCCUUUCGAUAUCUGUUGGCGCUGUUAUUUAUAUAUACGGAAUGCAUAAUUUUUUAUAAGUUUUUUUAAUACAUAGACCAUCCUUCUGUAAGUCGUACCAUACAUUCAUGACAUUAUUGUGAUAAUAAAUGUUUUACACGCACCACGAAUGUAUUCUUUAUUUGUAUAUUUGAAGGUAUGCCCAGGUACUUGCACGUGGUAAAACAAAUUUAAAAUUUGAAUAUCUAACAUCUUAUAUUACGCUGGUUGAAGCUACACUAGAGUCAGCUCCACAAUUAACAGUACAGAUUUACCUAUUGAUCACUGACAGCCAUACAGACACUACUUACACAGGUAAUUCAUUAUUGUUUACUAAUGUAUAUAAUUAUCUGUAUGCAUGUUUUAUUUAUCAAUACACGGUUUAAGAACCGUUUAAUCUAUUAUUAAUGAAUACAAAUUAUUUCGGUUUCGGCAAUUUGAAAUACUAAGUCGGAUGAGACGUAGUUUAUCAUGUUUAUUAAAGCUAGAAAUGUAUUUGAAAAGGCUUAUUAUGUAAAUUAACAAACACGAUCAUCUUAACUUAUUGCAUUAUCAGAUUGUCAAAUUAUUGUUAAAAGUAAAAUAAAAAAAAUACUAAACUCCGAGAAAAAUUCAAAACGAAAGUCCGUAUUCAAAUGGAAAAGUAAAAAUUUAAAACACAUCAAACGAACGGAGAACAACUACCAUAUUCCUGACUAUGAAUAGCAAUGAAUGAUGAGAAUUCAACAGCAACCAGUGUAUAAAUGCCAUGACUGUUGUUAAUUUAUUUAUCUUAUUUUAACUGUUAAGUGAUUGAUCCAAAUUAAAUAAAAUAAUAUAAAACUAAAGCAAAAACGAAAAUGUCGGGUAUCGGUGUCUUUUUUUCAAGAACGAAAGAAGUGUAAAAAUGAAAUUUAUGAGAAAAAAAACUAAUUUUAGCAUUUUUAAAACUGGUCAUUUCACAUUUGAAAACUAGCAACUGUUACUGGCACCCCAUUUAUUAUUGAAUCUCAUUCAGUUGAUGACAACAUAUGAUAAUACAUGAUAAUUGAUCUCAUGUACCGUUUUUAUCGUUACAUAAUAGUCGUUUUUGUUGACAUGAUACAUCAUGCACUUAUAUACUUAUAUGAUAUAUAAAAAGUUAAAAUAAAAAAUGUUUGAUCUAAUCUCCGAGAAAACGUAAAACGGUAAAAGACAAAGAGACAGAGGGUAUUAUCACAAUUUCAUCUACUGAAACAUAUACAUGUAUACAUGAAUACAUAAAUACCGAAAUAUACUGAUAAACUAAAAUAAAUGCAUGAGUUAUAAUAUAUCAACACAUCGUGUAUCUGCUUUUAUUUGAGUUUUACUUUCUGUUAUAGGAAUGAUUCGUUCUCUAAGCAUAAUUGCAUCUUCUCUUGGGCUUGCAUGGUCAUUAAAUGCAUUUAAACAUCAAAAUCGAAAGAAAAACCACAACAAAGAGGACGGCUUUUGUGUAAAAUUUAUUCACUGGAUAUCACGAUUUGCCGAGAUUGUGCCACGCAUUAUUUUAAUUGCACUCUGUACUGCUGAAUACAGCGUAUAUGUUUUAAUUUUCAUAUUUUAUCGUAUUUUAUGUGGAAUCAUGUACAGCAUUUGUGAAAGAUUGACUAUUGGUAAAAGCUUUCGCUUCUUAGAGGAACCUGAUUUGAUAUUGGGAAUAGUAGGCAACAUAUUUUGCUAUUCUGUAUCAAAAAUUUAUCAAUGCCAAAAGAAAGAACAAUGUGGGGGGAAAUUCUUCGUAGGUUAUUACAUUAUAUAUUAUAUAGAAAAUGGCAUUAUGUUGUUCCUUUGGUAUAGCGAUGAUCCUGCUUUACUUCAAAUGAAGAUUGGAGGGGCAUGUUCAAACCAUGCAUGGUGGGCACCAGGUGUUAUAGUUGUUGUCAUUAUCCUAUGCGUUCUACAGCUGUUAUUUUUGUAUUUAUAUUAUCGUUUACGUGGGAAACAACACCAAUCGAUUGCUCAGAACAUGUCGUCAGGAACAUGCCACCAAUCUGCAUCACUUAAUUCGGACUCUUGCACUAAUUACGGACAAUUCGAUAACAAUGGUUUUCAAGAUGAACGGCAGACAUACAAUUUUCAAGAUGGCCAAGUGGCCAGUCCUUAUGAUAUUGAUAGUCAAUAUGCACAUGACUCACAAAUGCAGCCAUAUCGUGGAUAUGAGAGAAAUAAUCAACCUAUAUAUCGAUAUCCAAGGGAAGAGCUACAUGUUACGCAGUCAUAUGAGUCGGAUGUCAAUAACAUAUGGAAUAUUGAACCGUAUCCAAAUGUAUCGCAAAAUUCUCAGCAAAUUCAACAAUAUAAUAUGAAUCCGUUGCAACAGUGGAAUGAUUACCAUUCCCAAAGUGAAUGGUAUGAAAGCAACAUGAGCAAUCGGCAAACACAUUUUGCUUCUACAUUUCACAAUCAAACAUUUGUAGGAAACGUUAGUUCCUCGUAUCAAUCAUCCAUGCAAUCGAUGACUCAAGGUGCCGUGUUUACUGGUACACAAUAUAACAAUCAAGGAGAAUACAGGUUUAGUGGAUAUUAAUAUGUAUAAUAGAAGCACAAAGGUGCCUGCUGGUUAAUAGUUUACGCUUACAAGAAAUGAAAAUGUUAUGUAAGGAAAUGAAAAUAUAUACACAUAUUCAUUUAAAUAUGUAUCCAAUGUACGAUUUCAUUCCUUUGCGAAGAUUUUUUUUCUGAAUGUUUGCUUUCAAAUAAUAACAUACUACAUAACAUUCUUUGAACUGUUUGUAACCUUGUGUUUUUUGCCGCUGUUGUAAUCAAACAAUAGAAACUAAUAACAUGUAUACUGCAAUUUGAUGUCUUUCUACUACAGAUAUCGUUUUAAAGCUCCGCCCACUGCCGGCCUUCGUUUAUGUAUUGCUGUUGACGAGUGUAAUAUGAACAUGUACAACCUCAGAAUAUGUAUUGCAGUCCUAUUUCGAUGUCGUAUUGUUUGACGUUACGCGAACUAACGAUUACCCUUUAUACGUUCUGUUUGUUUUCAAACAUUUCUUUAGAGCAAUAAGAAUAAAAUCAAUUUUCUAAUAAAAGUCAAAAAUGAACAGCAGCAUUUUGUACGACGACAAUCAUCCAUUUUAAAACUUUAAUGUAUUCUCG